CAGUCGCCACGGGAAUACGGAGGGUGCAAGCGUUAAUCGGAAUUACUGGGCGUAAAGCGCACGCAGGCGGUCUGACAAGUCAGAUGUGAAAUCCCCGGGCUUAACCUGGGAACUGCAUUUGAAACUGUCAGGCUGGAGUCUUGUAGAGGGGGGUGGAAUUCCAGGUGUAGCGGUGAAAUGCGUAGAGAUCUGGAGGAAUACCGGUGGCGAAGGCGGCCCCCUGGACAAAGACUGACGCUCAGGUGCGAAAGCGUGGGGAGCAAACAGGAUUAAAUACCCCUGUAGUCCCUGUCUCUUAUAC
rnacentral:rRNA from 1 species